GGAGCCCAGCCCUGGACUCCCAGCUCAGCCCACUCAGUGAUCAGGACUGAACACAGCUGCUCACCAUGGAGAGUGUGCUCAGCUGGGUUUUCCUGGUGGCUGUUUUCAAAGGUGUCCAGUGUGAGGUGCAGCUGGUGGAGUCUGGGGGAGGCCUGGUGCAGCCUGGGGGUUCCCUGCGACUCUCCUGUGCAGCCUCUGGAUUCACCUUCAGUAACUACUGGAUGAGCUGGGUCCGCCAGGCUCCAGGGAAGGGGCUGGAGUGGGUUGGAGAAAUUAACCCAAGUGGUGGUACAACAAACUAUGCCAACUCUGUGAAGGGCCGAUUCACCAUCUCCAGAGAGAACUCCAAGAACACACUGUACCUGCAAAUGAGCAGUCUGAGAGCUGAGGACACGGCCACCUAUUACUGUGCCAGAGACACAGUGAGGGGAUCUCAGUUUGAGCCCAGACACAAACCUCCUGCACGGUUCGGGCCUGUUUGCGACUUCGGAAAUCAGCUGGGCACACAUAAUAAUCAAGACUGGCUAGUCUACACCUAUGAUGAGGGCGAUGACAUCCAUAGUGCAUAUGUCCGCCUGGGGAACGCUACCCUAGUUUGGGGUUGA